UACGUAGGGGGCAAGCGUUGUCCGGAAUUAUUGGGCGUAAAGAGCUCGUAGGCGGUUUGUCGCGUCUGCCGUGAAAGUCCGGGGCUCAACUCCGGAUCUGCGGUGGGUACGGGCAGACUAGAGUGAUGUAGGGGAGACUGGAAUUCCUGGUGUAGCGGUGAAAUGCGCAGAUAUCAGGAGGAACACCGGUGGCGAAGGCGGUUCUCUGGGCCUUACCUGACGCUGAGGAGCGAAAGCGUGGGGAGCGAACAGG
rnacentral:rRNA from 1 species